GCGAUAAUAUUUUUUCAAUUAUCUAAAAUUCCCAAAAAUAUUUUGGGAUUACCAUAAACCGAACGACCUCUAGUGGUACUCAAGCCUUUUAUGUUAAAUAAAAAAGAAAAAGAAAAAGAAAAAAAGCCAACCUCUAAAGGCUUUUCUCCCAUACAAAUCCAAACAGGUUUUGUAAAUUGUUGGUAUGAAAAAAAAAUGGUGUGUGACUAACAUUCUGGACCAUCUAAUGUGUGUGUUAAAGGAUUUCAUAUAUAAACCAAUUGCAAAUGGCAUGCUGAUGACGUCUUCUUCUUCAACAAAUACUAGUAUUUUGCCCGCGUAUUACAGCGGGACUGUUAGAUAAAUCACUCUUUGUUCAUAUUUAUUUAAAUGAUUACAUGCAAAUAUAUUACAUUGUAAGUUGUAAUAUAGUAUAGAACAAAUGUAAGAUUUAUAAUCAUGUUCAUUAUAUUUAUAUAUCAAUUUAUAUUAAUUGAAUUUUUCAUUUUUAUCCAUAUUAAUCCUAUUAUUGUUGAUAUAAAAUAUUUUUGUUUAUUUAUUACAACGAAACCUCUUUCCUUUCUUUUAUUUUUUAAUCUGUCUCCAUCAAAAAAAAAAAAAAAAGCCAAGACAUACGGUAAGCAGAACAAUUCAAUUGUGAAUUGCCCUUCAAUUAAAAAUUGUACUUCCUUAUGAAUAACUUUAAUAAAAAAAUUAAUAUAAUAUAUAUUCGCCUAAAAUUCUUUCCUCUUCCUUCUUAUUAUCACCACAAAUUAUCAUGGCUGAUCAUCAAUGCAUGGGCAUGGGAGAUGGCCCAGUUUUUCGUCUUUUAAUGCAGGGUUGCCUAGAGGCGAAGAGAAAGAAGGAAUAAAGCAUAGCUGCCAUUGUGCUGCUUGUUUGUCUUGACAUUUCAAAGACAGAACAAUUGCUACAGAUAAAUAUCAGGCAUUUCCUUCUUUUUCUCCUUUAUGCUAUUCUCUUUGCUUUCCCCAUUCUUCCCGAUCAUAAUGAUUCCCGAAAAGACUGGGCACCAUUUUUCCAUUUUCCAUUUACAAAAGCAACCUCACCAAUUACAAUUCUGUAUUUCUAUUUCAUCAAUAUAUUUAUUUUACCACACAUUUACUUCACGAAAUUAAAUAGAACGAGAAUAAAGUAAAUAUUUCAUAAAAAUAGAAAAGAAAGAAACUAAAAUAAAAAUAAUAAAAUAAUGUCCGGUUCAUUAAAAUAUAAGAUAGCAAAGAUUAAUAUUACUAAAAUUAUCAUAAUUAAGUAAUAAAAAUUUUAUAUUUAUAUUUUUUUUCUUCUUUCUUCCUUUACUCUCUUUUUUCCCAUUUCUUCCUCAUUUCCCUUUCUUUCACUAAAAACUAAAAAAUUCAGAACCUUUCCUUCUACAAUUCACUACCCUUGCGUCCUCCGCUGAUCGAUGCCAGCAGUCGCCACUUGUCGUUGUUACCAACGUCAAUUUUUAUCAAAUUUCACCCACGUAUUCAUCUCGACCACCUUUUAUGGGCAUCAACUUGAUUUUUUCAAAAAUAGCUUACAAAACUCUAAAAAUUCAUUUAAAUAGACGAUAAAAUUAGUUUCAAUAAAAUUGAAAUGAGAGUAAUUAUUAUAAUAAUAAAAUUAAAUAUUUUAAUUAAAAAAUUAAAAUUAAUGAUG
rnacentral:lncRNA from 1 species